rnacentral:rRNA from 1 species
GAUGAACGCUAGCUAUAGGCUUAACACAUGCAAGUCGAGGGACCGGCGCACGGGUGAGUAACGCGUAUCCCACCUGCCCAUAACUAAGGGAUAACCCAGCGCAAGUUGGACUACUACCUUAUGGUUAUGGCUGGGGAUGCGUUUGAUUAGCUUGUUGGCGGGGUAACGGCCCACCCAGGCAACGAUCAGUAGGGGUUCUGAGAGGAAGGCCCCCCAGAGUGGAACUGCGACACGGUCUACAACCGUAGGGGGGGCAGCAGUGAGGUAUAUAGGUCAAUGGACGCAAGUCUGACCCAGCCAAGUAGCGUGAAGGAGGACGGCCUAUGGGUUGUAAACUGCUUUUAUAUGGGGAUAGGUACCAUAUGAAUAAGGACCGGCUAAUUCCGUGCCAGCAGCCGCGGUAAUUC